CUACGGGUUGCAGCAGUGAGGAAUAUUGCGCAAUGGGGGAAACCCUGACGCAGCGACGCCGCGUGGAUGAUGAAGGCCUUCGGGUCGUAAAAUCCUGUCAGAAGGAAAGAUGUGUAUGGUAGCUAAUAUCUGCCAUACUUGACGGUACCUUCAAAGGAAGCACCGGCUAACUCCGUGCCAGCAGCCGCGGUAAUACGGAGGGUGCAAGCGUUGUUCGGAAUUACUGGGCGUAAAGCGCGCGUAGGCGGUUUUAUAAGUCAGAUGUGAAAGUCCACGGCUCAACCAUGGAAGUGCAUUUGAAACUGUAAGACUUGAGUAUUGGAGGGGGUAGUGGAAUUCCCGGUGUAGAGGUGAAAUUCGUAGAUAUCGGGAGGAAUACCGGUGGCGAAGGCGACUAUCUGGCCAAAUACUGACGCUGAGGUGCGAAAGCGUGGGGAGCAAACAGGAUUAGAUACCCCUGUAGUC
rnacentral:rRNA from 1 species